UAAGGCCCGGUUUGGUACUCCUCCUCCUCUGUGUGAUAUAUAAAAUAUGAUAGAGAGAGAGUGUGUGUUGUGUUGUGCUGUUGAGAGAAGAAAAAGAGAAAGAUGAAUUUUCGAUGGAUGGAAGCAGUGUUACCAUUAGGAAUAAUCGCAGGAAUGCUUUGUGUUAUGGGUAACGCUCAGUAUUAUAUCCACCGUGCUGCUCAUGGCCGUGUCCCCUAAGCACAUCGGUAAUGAUAUGUGGGAUGUGGCCAUGGAACGAAGAGAUAAGAAGCUCAUCGAUCAAUCUACUACUUCCUAGGUCGUUUUAUCAAUGUGCUUGUGAAUGGAAUAAAUUGCUUAUCUGAUGUUCCAAGGAAUCCGGGAGGAUCCCUACACUCAGAUUUCCAUCUGUUUUCUUGUAUGACAUUUAUUAUCAGCUUUAAGCUCUAAUCAAUUGCUUUCUCAUGGCUGAACAUGGUUUAAUAGACUUGUUAUAACUUUGUGUUUGAGAUAUUUGUUCCAUGUUAAUCUUUGACCAAUUUGUUCUUCAACAUAAAUAUAAGUCUUCAUAUAUAUAUAUAUAUCAAUAGCUGAUGAAUAAUUAUAUAAAGCAACCUGCAUUCCCGACCCAUACUUUCCAUUAAACACAAAGAUUGAAGAGAAUGUUGGAAAAGAGGAGGCUACCAUAGUAAUUAACAUUUUCUUAUUUAUAAAUCAUA